rnacentral:lncRNA from 10 species
AAAGAAAAAUGAAAACAUCAUCAUUUGUAGGUUUCAGUAACCCCUUCCCAGAAUUUUCCUGACUCUUAAAACGAGGUACCUUCUCUGAUAGGAAGGCUCCCCUAGUAAUGAUUCAGAAAUAACAUUUUAUGUGCUCCAAGCCUACGAUGACGAAUAAGUUUUUGUUUGUUUGUUUGUUUGUUCUGAAUGUGAAAGUAGUUUGGGUGAAGAUAGCUUUGGUCUGUGGUUCGGAUUAAUUAAUUAAGACAUAACCAAAUAAGUAUUUGCAUACUUUCACUGUUUCAUGCUUUCAGCUAGUGUGUAUGUAUGAAGCAACUCUAUGCAGGCACUUUUCUAAGUCUUAAGAGUACAAAAGAGUAUGAGAUAGAAGAAUAUGAUACGUGAGAGAGAUACUGUGGGGACGGGCUCAUGAAAUCCUCGCUGAGGAAGUGAAAUUAAGCUGAAAUCUGAUUUACAAGAAAGAGCCAACCAUGUGAAUAUCAAAGGAAAGAAUAUCCUAGGCAGAGGGAAGAGCUCUUAGAGACCUAUAGUGAGAAUAAGCUUGAUAUAUUUGAGGGACUAAGAGAAGGUAAGUGGCUUAAUGCCUGGUGGGGAAAGAGGAAUGCCAUACAAUGAGGGUAGGAAGUAAGCAGAGGCUUACUUACAUUACACAGCAGAGUGUGUUUUCAUCAGAAUGUUAUAAGAAGCUGUUCUGAGGGUUUUAAACAAAGAGGUGACCUAAAUAUUUUACAUUUUGUAAAUCCUUUGGUACAGGAGAUAAGUGGGCACAAGUGAGGAAUGAUGUUUGUACAGCAGUGAUAGUAAUGGAGUUGGACUGGCAAGGAUGGAUUUGAGAUACAUUUUGAACUUAGAUGGAAAAAACAAAAAAGAAAAAGAAGCAUAAGAAACACAGUAAGAAGAAGAAAAAGAAGGCUGCUAGUUCAAGUCCUGACUCACCAUAACAUUAAGAAAAAUCAGGAUUCCCUUAUAAAGAAAGUGCAAUGUCUGAGGAAAUUUCAACUGUGAAAACUACAACAUAUUUACUAAAAUGCAUGAAUUUUCUUGUUUUUGGAAUUAUUCCUGGACUAUUCAGUAGCCACUCAGAUGCCACUGUGUGAAAGGGCCAUAAAUGUUGCCUGCUGCUUGAACAUCUAUUUUUUUCUCUUCCAGUGCUUGAUAACUCUGGGAGAUAAUACACUGCAGUCGUACUAGUGGUUAAGAUAUUUGGGAAUAAAAUUAAUACUUUUGACUAGAAGCGUCUAAGGAUAAACCAACAGAAAUUGAAUCUGGAUACAUCUUUAAGAUGUAAUCAGAAAUGACCAGAUGACUCUAGUUAGAAUUUUUGAAGGAGGGAUUACAUUAAUAUUUCAAAACCCUUACUCUGUAGAUAAGUGUAUUUUAAUUUUUUCCCCUCGUAUACUUUUAUUUACCUGGGGAAGGAGCUUUUAGGGUUGGGGGGUGGUUUGCUAUCUCUUUAGCUAGCAGAAUAGUGUGCCUUUGAUCCUCACACAUCCUGUAUUAUGGACACAGUAGCCAUGCUUCACGGGGAGGUCAGAGCUGGCUACCAGCAGUCUUGCCCUUUACUGAGCUUAGUGUCAUCUUUGGAUGCUGUCAUAUGCUGCUUUGAGUGAACCAGAGAAACAGCCAUUUGCAGCAUGAGAAAGCCCCAAAAGCUCUGGGAUUUACCUCCACUUUAGUAAUAAUGAAUAUUUUUUAGCAUUAGAAUGUGUUAUGUCAUUUGAAUUAAUUUUGACUACACUUUGGCUUGGGAGAGGAAUUAUUUUAAAUAGACAUUGGUACUUUUUGAACUUGAUAGCUAAAGAUUCUAAAAUGCAUGUUUUAUACUAAGUUUUAACCAGUCAGGAAAAUUUUAUGUAACUAGUGAUAGUUUAUUUUUUUGUAUGAAUUUUGUUUAGGCUGCAAUGUUUAGCUUUUGUUAACUCCUCACUCUUGCUGUCUUAAGUUCAUUACUAUGUUUAAUGGCCUACUUGCCAAGAUAUUUAGCAUGUAAAAAGCAGGGUUUUGAUUAAAAAAAAAAAACGGCUUCAUAUUGAAGCUGAGACUUACAAUAACAAGUUGAGUGGCAAGCCUGGUAUGCUGUGUCUUAUUGCCAGAAUCUUAGUAAAUGUAAUGUUUUAAAAGUUUGUUGUCUUUGUAUAUUAAUAACAAAUUAUGACAAGUUAAGUUUAAAUAAGAGUUACAUUAUUGCUCUCCCUGUGUCAUAUUUUACUAAGAUUUUGUGCCUCAUGUCUACUGCUGAAUUGUUUACUAGGAAUGUUAAAAGGAAUUGAUAAUUCAUUUUCAUUUUACAUUUUUAUAUAAUCAGGUAACAUGACAUACAACUUGAUGUACAAUUUUGCCUGUUACAAAGGGUGUGCUAAUUAUAGUGGUAUAUGCACAGAACAUGUUGGCAUGACAACAGGCUGAAUAAAUAGCUAUUUUACUUAAAAAUAGCUGUGUUCUUAUCAGCUCCCUUUGGACUGCAAGUAAACUUACAAAGAUAAACACUCCUAGAUGUUAAGCUGGAAAUAGAUAAGACAUGUCCCUAAAUUUUUAGCUAUUAAAAAA